UUGCCUACGGGGCGCAGCAGUAGGGAAUUUUCGUCAAUGGGCGCAAGCCUGAACGAGCAAUGCCGCGUGAACGAGGAAGGUCUUCGGAUCGUAAAGUUCUGUUGAAGGGGAAAAAGAGCGGAGAGAGGAAAUGGUCUCCGAUUGAUAUUACCCUUCGAGGAAGUCACGGCUAACUACGUGCCAGCAGCCGCGGUAAUACGUAGGUGGCGAGCGUUAUCCGGAAUGAUUGGGCGUAAAGGGUGCGCAGGCGGAACCAUAAGUCUGAAGUAAAAGCCAUCGGCUCAACCGAUGUAAGCUUUGGAAAC
rnacentral:rRNA from 1 species